GAUGAACGCUGGCGGCGUGCCUAACACAUGCAGGUCGAGCGAACAGACGAGGAGCUUGCUCCUUUGACGUUAGCGGCGGACGGGUGAGUAACACGUGGAUAACCCACCUAUAUGACUGGGAUAACCUCGGGAAACCGGAGCUAAUACCGGAUAAUAUAUUGAACCGCAUGGUUCAAUAGUGAAAGACGGUUUUGCUGUCUCUUAUAGAUGGAUCCGCGCCGCAUUAGCUAGUUGGUAAGGUAACGGCUUACCAAGGGGACGACGCGUAGCCGACCUGAGAGGGUGGUCGGCCACACUGGAACUGAGACACGGUCCAGACUCCUACGGGAGGCAGCAGUAGGGAAUCUUCCGCAAUGGGCGAGAGCCUGACAGAGCAACGCCGCGUGUGUGAUGAAGGUCUUCGGGUCGUAAAACUCUGUUUUGAGGGAAGAACAGAUGUGUAAGUAACUGUGCACGUCUUGACGGUACCUAGUCAAGAAGCCACGGCUAACUACGUG
rnacentral:rRNA from 1 species